CCUACGGGAGGCAGCAGUAGGGAAUCUUCGGCAAUGGACGAAAGUCUGACCGAGCAACGCCGCGUGAGUGAAGACGGUUUUCGGAUCGUAAAACUUUGUUGGUAGAGAAGAACGUUGGUGAGAGUGGCAAGCUCAUCAUGUGACGGUAAAUACCCAGACAGGGACGGCUAACUACGUGCCAGCGUCAGCGGUAAUACGUAGGUCUCGAGCGUUGUUCGGAUUUUUUGGGUGAAAAGCGGGCGCAGGUGGUUUAUGAAGUCAGGUGGAAAAGGCGGGGGCUCAACCCUUGUAUGCAUUGGAAACUGGGGGGCUUGAGUGCAGGAGAGGUGAGUGGAAUUCCAGGUGUAGCGGUGAAAUGCGUAGAUAGAUGGAGGAACACCGAUGGCGAAGGCGGCUCUCUGGCCUGUAACUGACACUGAGGCUCGAAAGCGUGGGGAGCAAACAGGAUUAGAUACCCCAGUAGUC
rnacentral:rRNA from 1 species